rnacentral:rRNA from 1 species
UGGGGAAUAUUGGACAAUGGGCGAAAGCCUGAUCCAGCCAUGCCGCGUGAGUGAUGAAGGCCUUAGGGUUGUAAAGCUCUUUCACCCACGACGAUGAUGACGGUAGUGGGAGAAGAAGCCCCGGCUAACUUCGUGCCAGCAGCCGCGGUAAUACGAAGGGGGCUAGCGUUGUUCGGAAUUACUGGGCGUAAAGCGCACGCAGGCGGUGGUCAUAGUCAGAAGUGAAAGCCCUGGGCUCAACCCGGGAAUUGCUUUUGAUACUGGACCGCUAGAAUCACGGAGAGGGUAGUGGAAUUCCGAGUGUAGAGGUGAAAUUCGUAGAUAUUCGGAAGAACACCAGUGGCGAAGGCGACUACCUGGCCGUCGAUUGACGCUCAUGUGCGAAAGCGUGGGGAGCAAACA